AGCUCACCAAAUGCAAGGCACGCAUUCAAGAUGUUUAACACUCCAACUCCAAUGAGAAUUACAAAGGUUUGUACCACUGACGUUUACUAAUUAGAAGUUAUCGCCUUCCCAUGAGGCACGAGAGCCUGUGAAGGAGGCUGACCAAUACCGCGGAAAAGCGCUCUGGGAUAAGGUUGCUAUGUAUAAGCGGGAGUAUCUAUUUGGAGCGGGGAGCGGGUCGCGGGUAAAAGGAGCGGGUCGCGGGUAAAAGGAGCGGGUAAUUAAAAAAAGGAGCGGGUAAUUAAAAAAGGAGCGGGUAAAAGGAACGGGUUAUUAAAAAAGGAGCGGGUAAUUUUCCAGGUGUGCGUCGGCACUCAAAUCACUUGAGCCUGUUUGCUUUCUCUUGGACGACGCUCGAGAUUUACUGUGAAGGCAUUUAUAAUCGUUCAAAUCAUUCAUCAAUCCUAACCUCUUUAUUUGAAAAAAUCAGUUCUUUUUAUUCUAAAGGUAUGUCCCAUGUUUUUAUUCAACUAUUUUCACAUCUUUUAUGAUCAGAAUCAUUUUAAUCAUUUGCCAUUAUGAUGGCCGCCAUGUACGUAAGGCAUGUACGUACGCCUCCGGAAAGAUAUCUGAGCACUAGCCUAAAUAGCUGUAUUUCAACAAGGAGAAAAGCUAAAAACUUUCAACAAUACUUAAAAUUUAAUACAAAACGUGUUUCCAGAACGUAGAGCAGUUUUAAAGUUGUUUUCUCGGGAGACAAAGUGCGAAGUUUUUUUCGGCAUGUUCAAUCUUGUGUAAUAUAAUAAUUUUUGUCGUUUUGGUGACCCAAAAAUUAAACGUUGCGCUAGUGCAUGUGUACGUAUUUUCAGCACGUCAUAGUAAGACAUGUUCGGGCUGUUAAAUAUCUGUUAAUUUUCACAUUUGAUAGAAUUUUCGAGAUUUUUUAUGUGAAGUCAAUGGUUUCACUUAGUAAAAAUGGUCUUUUGUUGUUUACACUUUCAUAAAUAAAUGUCUUUUUUUACUUUAAAUUCCCCACCGGCGCUUAGCACCUGGGAAAUUACCCUCUCCUUUUUUAAAAACCCGCUCCUUUUAUCCGCUCCUUUUUUAAUUACCCGCUCCUUUUAUCCGCUCCCCGCUCCAAAUAGAUACUCCCUGUAUAAGCUAUCUUGGGAAAGCAAUUUUUGCAUGUUAAUUAAAGCAAUUUUCCUUGAAAGACAUUGAUCUCGAACCUGUUUAUGGAAGCGACUCCAUAAAACCUAUGUUCCAGAAAUUUCAGAUCUAGAGUGUAUAUCACAUUAAUUCACAUCGGGCCGGUCGUCCGAAAGCUGGUUUGCUUAAUCUUAGGUUAACGUAGGGCAGCUUUUUUAUAAACUUGGAAAUCUUUCCCAGAAAUUUUCUCUGGAUCAAACGGACCUGCAAAAAUUCCAAAAGUGAGUUAAAUUUUAGGCCGGGGUUAGUGCUUCUCGGAUUUCGAACGACUGACCAAAGUACGUUAAUGGGGGGUUGGAAUUGUACAUAGUAAAGUCCUUAUUUCCAAUCUGUAUUUAUAGAUCACCAGGACGCCAAGAACAUUGAAUAAUUUGGAUUUUCCAAAUCCACCAGAAUUUUCUUUAUCUCCUCAUGUUGAACUUGAUGAUAUGUAAAAACGUUCAAGUAUGAAUAGUAUGUAGAAGACCAGAAAAUUUUCAGAAAAAGUCACAUUCUGAUGGCAUUUUUGUUACAAGCUGCUAACUGGCAUUUUCUUAAGACAAUAUUUUUGUUGGCAGCUCUGAUUUUGACUUUGCAGCCGAAAAUUUGAAUUUUGCUUAAAGAGUACCAUGUUGACCAAAAAUGCAAAUUUUCAGAUUCACUUUCCGCAAAAUUAACUACACCAUUAGAAAGUUCGCAAAAAGUAUACACAAGGCAUUUAAGUAAGUUGUCCGAUUUUUCAAGCCGGUUUUGAUUUAAGGAUCUCAAAGUUGGAAAAUAGUAACUUAAUAGCAUAAAUUAGUGUACUUUUCAUAUCUUUGAGUGUUAAUUUCAAAAUCAG